rnacentral:lncRNA from 1 species
AGUGCAGUGUGGUGUUGCAAACGGAAAACUGAGCGGAGAAUAGUCAUUUUAGUACAUUUCAGUUAUUUUCUGUUUCUUUGCCAGGGUUUUAGUCAAUGUCUAACACUGACAUCAAGUGGAUGUAAGUGGAAUAGCAGACCUGAGACAUUAUCAGAAUAUUGUGCCUUGUGGCCCUUACAAAUACAAAAAAUAAUGACUUAAUGAAAAUUAGCAUGCAAUGAAAACGUGGUUGAUCUAGAGGUUCAGCAAACGAUUUUAAUUGUUCACAGUGACAUUGUUUAUUUUAAUUGGCAUGAUAUUUGACCAAAUUUUACCAUGACAAGAUGCAAGGUAAAUAUGGAGUCAAUAUGACAAAUAUUAGUUGAGUAUUUGUAUUUACUCACCUAAUAAUUGUAUUAUUAUUUCACUUAAAAAUAAAACAGUGUGAAGGUUGUGAUUUCAGUGUGAUGUCUUUAUGGGGUGAGUUUUCCAAGAUGUGCACAAUUAGUUUGAUAUCCUGAGAGCUGUGAAUUGUUAGACAUGGUUUAAAAUACCUUGAUAUUUUUAUGAAGAUAGCUAAAUGAAUAAUUAAAAUACCUAAAUGAUUACAAAGCAUCUUCAAAACAUAUGAAAUAAGAAAAUAUAUAAUUUAAAUCCAGUGUUGCACUAUUUUUUCACCAAGAUCUUGCAUUGGUGAUGGUAGAGUCUGAAAGUUAAAGUGCGCGGCAUCAUAAUAUUUUUUUUUGAAGGCUAUAAACUAUUUUUAUAUGAAUAUUAUAGUUAUAUCUUCUAUAAUAAUAAUAAAUAAUGUUCUGUUUACGAUUAUAAUUGUUAUUAUUAGUAAUAAUAUUAUUGAAAAAAUAAGCAUACGGGUCUUUUAGGGGCGGGAGCGCGCACUGUGUAUAAGAUUAGAUUUAUUUGUUUUUAUUUAAACUGUUUCUGAGCUUCAGAGCCGCAGCAGCAGUUCCGGAGAGAGAUUUCACUACUACUACUGACCCACCGCCUGAUUUAUCCUUUAUACUGUUAAUUAUAUCUAUAUUUCUUUUAAUUAUUCUGUAAUUGUUGUGUUUUCUGUGUUGUUGUUGUUGUUGUUUUGUUUGUUUUUUGUUGUUUUUUCUUUUUCAGGUAACCGGAUCGUUGUGAGGACCGACGCCCCGCGGUCGGAUAUGGACUGGCGGCAGACUUUUAGCGUCCAUCCACCUGAGGCGGAGUCUGGAGCUCCAGAGUCUUCACCUCCUCACACUCCGCCUCUUUCGGUGAGUCUCUUUUAAACUGCUACACCUCUAACGAGGCUGAAGUUGGUUUGAUAUUCGCAGCUCCAGAUUCGUUUGGCUCGAUAUU